rnacentral:rRNA from 1 species
UACCGGCUGCUCGAGUGAUGGCCACUAUUACUGGGUUUAAAGCGUCCGUAGCUUGACUGUUAGGUCUCUUGGGAAAUCUUCACGCUCAACGUGAAGGCGUCUAAGAGAUACCGGCAGUCUUGGAACUGGGAGAGGUAAACCGUACUUCGGGGGUAGGAGUGAAAUCUUGUAAUCCUCGAGGGACGACCUAUGGCGAAGGCAGUUUACCAGAACAGCUUCGACAGUGAGGGACGAAAGCUGGGGGAGCAAACAGG